CACGUAGGGUGCGAGCGUUGUCCGGAAUUAUUGGGCGUAAAGAGCUCGUAGGCGGUGUGUCGCGUCGGCCGUGAAAACCUGCAGCUUAACUGUGGGCGUGCGGUCGAUACGGGCAUCACUGGAGUUCGGCAGGGAGACUGGAAUUCCUGGUGUAGCGGUGAAAUGCGCAGAUAUCAGGAGGAACACCGGUGGCGAAGGCGGGUCUCUGGGCCGAUACUGACGCUGAGGAGCGAAAGCUAGGGGAGCAAACGGG
rnacentral:rRNA from 1 species